CUUCAGCCGCUCAUUGACAAGAUCGUGGCAAGGCUAGCGGGCUGGAAAUUCAAGUUGCUUGCCGCUGCAGGGCGCCUGGUGCUGCUUAACUCCGUGCUCUCGGCUUUCACGGUAUAUUGGAUGUCUUUACACGAGCUGCCGGCAUGGGUGUGUCGUCAGAUCGACAAGAUCGGGCGUGCCUGGCUUUGGAAGGGCCAGGAGUUCUGUCAUGGCGGGCAUUGCAAGGUGGUGUGGGGACGCAUCUGUCGACCGCGCGAUCUUGGUGGCCUCGGCAUUCUGGAUCUACAACGCUUUGGAGUGGCAUUAAGAUUGCGUUGGCUAUGGCUGGAGCACGUGGCCACGUCAAGGCCUUGGAUCGGACUGCCUGUCCCGUGCUCCACACCUGAGCGGCUUCUCUUCGCGGCUGCCACCACCGCGACUGUCCAUGAUGGCAAAACCGCGAGCUUUUGGUUCGAUAGCUGGUUUCUUGGGGAGGCUCCAAUCACCAUCGCGCUGGGCAUCUUCAUGCUCUCAUGGCGCAAAAGGCGGUUGGUCCAGGAUGCGCUACGGGACGGGAGGUGGGUCAAGGACGUGCAGGGUCGCAUCACUCUCGCCCUCCUCCCGGAGUUCGUGGCUUUGUGGUCUAAGGUUGCCGCGGCCGGCCCGCUCUGUGACGGACAAGACGAGUUCUCCUGGAACCUCACAGAAUCCCGGAAAUUCACUACGGCGUCGGCGUAUCUCCUGCAGUUCUUGGGCUCUACCAGAUCGCCAGUUUUCGAGAUCAUUUGGAAGGUGUGGGCACCCUUCAAAAUUAAGCUAUUCGCAUGA
rnacentral:rRNA from 1 species